rnacentral:rRNA from 1 species
UACCAGCACCCCGAGUGGUCGGGACGUUUAUUGGGCCUAAAGCAUCCGUAGCCGGUUCUACAAGUCUUCCGUUAAAUCCAACUGCUUAACAGGUGGGCUGCGGAAGAUACUAUAGAGCUAGGAGGCGGGAGAGGCAAGCGGUACUCGAGGGGUAGGGGUAAAAUCCUGUAAUCCUUCGGGGAGGACCAGUGGCGAAGGCGUCACGCUAGAACGGCUCCGACAGUGAGGGACGAAGCCCUGGGGCGCAAACCGG